rnacentral:lncRNA from 7 species
AUGCCCGCGAUUCAGUGCGGGGCUGUACGGCCCAACCCUCGGCUGCACGGAGCCAGCCCAGAAAGGACACCGCUCCGCUCCCCGCUGGGAAGCCGCAGCAUCUCGAGGAGCUCAAUGCCUCUCUGUAUUGCAGCUCUCCGUGGGCUCACAGCACUUCUGUCUCUUUGUUUCCCGCUUCAGGCCUCGCUGCAAACUGAUUUCCAGGCUGUGACCCGCCCCCCCCCACCCCCCCCCGGGCCAGAGGCUCCCCCGGAGAGUGCGGUCAGAACGGCGGACGGCGCCGUCCAACCUCCCGCAGCCACGAGCACAGCGGAUCCGGCACGGGAGAGUUCGGGCAGCGCGGAGCGGUGCGCUUCGGCCAAGGGUGGCACCGGGAUCCCAGCGCAGUGCCGCACUCCGCGCGGCCGGGCUUUACGCACAGCGCAGUACGCGGGAGGUGUCUUUACGUUUAACGUUUUAAUUUGGACAUGCUAAUUAGGCUGUGGGUCUCCACGGUUCUAUCGGCGGAUAGCUGAUCGCUUCCCUCUGCGAGGAAGUGACUGCUAAAUACAUUUCCCGGCCCCGAUCUCCGUUCCCAGAAGCCCGUCUAGCAGAACCGUCCCGUCGGGCGAAACGGACCUUUAAUAAUGGAAGGCCGAGGGAGGUUCUGCGCAGCGGCGCACCGCCUCGGGCACGGCCCCAACGCGGCCCUCUGCAGCGGAGCCAUCGAAAUAACUCCGUGCCCAGCGAACUUGUUGCUCGCUUUCAGCUCCUCCGCUCACCCCGGCUCGGGUCGGUGCCAGGCGAGGGGCAGAGGCAGCCUGGGGGAGAAGCCGCCGCUGUCGGGGUGAGAAACUUCCCGGGCUCCAAAGCCGCCCGCUCUGGGCGUCGAGGGGCAGCGGCCGCUCCGCUGCUGGGAACUGCGCCCUGGCCAUGUGUUUUUCCCGUGUGGAACGUUGCUCGCAAGUGCGGGAGGUGGAAAGUUUUGUUCACGUCAUUAUCUCAAAGCUUUCCCCGCGCGGUCAGUGGACGCAGAGGCUUCACUCCGUUUUCCGAAUGAAAACCCACGGACGCUUGAUGUGAAAAGUGCAUGCUCCCGUGGGCCGUGCUUUCCCCGAUUACUUUCUUUUUUCUUUUUCUUUUUUUCUUUCACUUUCUUGGCUCCGUCCCGCCAGGAUCUCUACGUUUACGGGCUGUACGGUUUCCAGGGCUCCAAUGGGGCUUUCCCUGAUGGAGGCGAGGAACAGAACUUUCCCACUCGCUCGGAAACUGCCGAGGAUCCGGCGGGGGGAGCACACAAAGAGGCCCCAAAUCCCCCCCGGGGCUCAGGGACAUCCCCUGCAGGUGCAGGACCAAAGCUGCAGGGAUGGCCCAAAGCGGUGCAUGUGUCGCUCUCGUCCCCUAUUAUGAGCGCUACGGGAGUGAAACGGGGGGUGGGGAGCGGGUUCUUGGGACAGCGGUUCUUGAGCCCACGCACGUUGGUGAAGGGAAACGCGGGGCCGUGCGCGCCGUCGGGCUGAGCCAGGGUUAAUGCCUGCGGGCCCAGACACGCUGUGCUCCGGGGGGGGGGGGGUGGUGGUGGCGAGGGGGCUCUGCCAGCUGCUCCCGCAGCGUGGGGAGCGGGAGGGGCGGAAAGGAGGAGCCAUCAGCUUAGGGCACACAAAAACAUUUAAAAAAAUAAAAUAAAAAAAAUAUAUAAAAAGACUACUUUUCCAGGCUUAACACAGCCAUUAAAUAUUAAAAGUUCAAAAAAAAUUAUAUAUAUAUGUAUAUAUAUAAAAGACCACGAGUCGUUUUAUUGCAUCUCCACGGGCUUAAGCGCUUUAUUUGGGCGAUAAAAAAUAUUAAAACAAACAAAUAAAUAAAUCAAAAUCGUGUGUGUAAUUGGUGCCCUCACUCCCUUGACGGCCUCGGAUCCCUCGCAGGUAUCGCCCCCCGAUCCCGCAGCUCCACCCCCAGCAAUCCCGGGCCGCUCCCCGGGGGUGCCCGCACCGCACCGCACCGCACCGCAGCGCGCCGGGCUGAGCGGGGCCGGGAGGGGCCCACGGCGCCCCCUGGCGUCCUCCCGCCGCCCCGGGAGCGCUCGGAAAGUUGGUUUUGUGCAGCAAGCCGUGUCGUAUAAAAUUAACGAGGACCAAUAAAAUUAGCUUCCAUGUUUCAACUGUAAAAGUCCCCGAGAAAAGCGAGGUGGUACGGGGGAAGCGGAGGGGCUCUGGUUUGGCUGCGCUCUCUUUGGCCGAACUGGGGCCCUUUUAUCUAAAGCCCAGUGCACAAACAUAUAGCUUAAUGUGACUAGUGUUCUUCCUUUUAUUUCUUUCUCUAUGGCAACCAAUAUGUUCUGCUCAGAAAUGUUCCCCCAUCAAGGAAACAAAUGAUCGGGAGGGAGCAGCUCUAUGCGGCAUCUGUUCCGAUGGAGCGCACAGAGUUAACCCCGCUCAAAGGAGCGCCGGGCGGCGGCGAGAAGUGGAAAAUGAGCGAUUCUGCUCCCCCCGCGCGGAAACCGACACCUCCCGGGCCCCCCAGCCCCCAUUGAUCUGCCCAUCGACCGCUGCCAAAGGACUCAUGCGAGGGAAUUAGGGUGAUGGCGAGGAUCGCGCGUCCAAAAGAGCAGCGGCGGGGGGGGAGGAGGGUGGAGGUCGGGGGGAGUUGGGGGGGGGGGGGGGGGAAUAUAUCUCUGUAUUGAAAACGGUGCGGAAAAAUGAAAAUAAAGACAAGUCGCGUCACGGGAUGUUGAAGCCUGGAGAAGUUUGCAGGCGCGUUACAGGGCCUACUGCCUUCACCCUACGUUAUACAGCGCGGUACCGACGGCUCUGACCCCGGCGCUGGGGGGUUCAGCUCUGGCCACGCUGCCCCGGCACCCUCGGGCCCCAGCGAGGCGCUCCGCUCUCCCUGUUCACCCCACUCCCACCCCCGGACCGCACGACCCCUCCUCACGGCGUUCACCCCCUGCCCGCCCCCGAGGCGGCAGGUGCCGGCCCGGCCCGCGCCCCCGCGCUGCCCUCCGCACGCACAACGCGGUGCGUUUUCCAGACCUUUCCUCAUCUCUCCCCCCCACCCCCCCCCCGCCCCCACUCCGCCCCCCACCCACCCACCCACCCACCCCAGGCCCGAGCGUUACAAUAAUGAAAAGUGAAGCAGCCUCCAGCAGCCUCCCCAGCCCCGAGGAAGCGCUGUGCCACCCGAGCGCUGGAACCAAUCCGCGCUGGAUGGAAUAUUUCACCACGGCGCAGUUUGGUGAAGAUUUUUUUUUUUUCCCCUUUUUCUCCCCCCCCCCCCCUUUCUCCCUCCCCCCCCCUUUUUUUUUAAGGCUGUCGCCGUGGGUUUUCCCCGCCUUGUCCUAAAGCUGUUGAAAACACCCAUCCAACAGACAAGAAAAGUAGAUAAAAAACGCCAAGCACUCACCGAGCGCACUCCCAGCACCGAGGAGAUGCGGUUGGGCGUUCAUUUGGGGUUUUAAUGGGGUGACGGGGGCACAGCGCGCCUUCUCGGCUCCGGCACGGCUCUCCCCGCUCCGCAUUUCCCUCGCACUGACUCCGCCGAGCCCCGCUCUCCGCCCGUCUAUUAUUUUCACCAAAAUAUAUGAAAAUUUAUGCAAAUGGAAAUCAGCACUAACUGUUCUCCCCUUGUUAUACUUUGGGUUUUUUUCCAGACAAAACAAUCACACUCCGCGAGGGAGGGGGCGGGAAGAGUUGGGGAACUAAGUUGGGGGUUUUUUUUUUGCCUCUUCAAUAAAAGGCGCUGCUCCCGCCGCAGCCUUAUUUUGCUGCCGCUCUCGGGAGGGAGAUGGGGGGGGGGGGGGGGGGCAUAUAUUUUUAUUAUUAUUGUUAUUAUUAUUAUUAUUUGGGGGGGGUUCUCCCCCCCCUCCGUCUAUAUUCAGACGUGGAUCUGUUUGCAGAGGCGCUAUCACGUUCCAUCGGGCCACCUGAGACGGCUUUUGAAAGCGCGCACUGUGAAAUUCAUAGCGGUAAUUUAGACAAAAUCCUCACUGUAUAUUAAUGAAAGACGGCCCCAUGGCACCGCUCCUAUCCUCCCCAUUCAGUGUAAACAAAACCACGAGACUCGCUCGGCUUUUUGAGCCCGAUCCAAGCAAAAUCGGCUGGAAAGGAAAACACGGGGCUCUGGCACGGACCGCUCGAGCGGCUGCACCUGGAGAUCUCCCAUUGAGUCAAUGGAAUCUGUGUUGGGGCUUCGCUAUAGAUUUUAAGAAACAUAAAACAGAAGACCUUUGCGGACGCUACAAGUAACCCCCCGCCCCCCACCCAACCUCGUUCCGUUGGGGUUCACCACCGCUCUCCCCACGGGGUUCCCCCACUCUCCGGCGCGGACACGCGCGCCGUGGGAACGCCGAACGUCCGAGCGGUGCCCCCGCGCUGUCAGUCCCCGCGGAGCGCUCCGUCCGCCCGCGCUGUUGUUGUCGCCACUUUCCUUUUUUUUUUUUUUUCCUCCCUUUUUUCGUGUUUUUUUUUUCUUUUUUUUUCUUUUUCUUUUUUUUUUUCUUUUCCCCCUCGGUUCACUGAGGCCGCCCGUGCGCGGCGUUUCCGCUUGGGCGCAUCUCGCCAUCCCCCGCCCCCCUUAACCCUUUCCGCCCGCCCGGGGCUCCCUCCAGUCCUCCCCCCACCUCUUUCCCUCCCUACGGGGCGGCCCCGGGGGCAGACAAAGGGAGAAAUGGGGGGAAGAAUGAAAUAGGGGGGUGGAGGGGGAAG